rnacentral:rRNA from 1 species
UACGAGAGGCCCAAACGUUAUUCGGAAUUACUGGGCUUAAAGAGUUCGUAGGCGGCGCAGAAAGUAGGGUGUGAAAGCCCUCGGCUCAACCGAGGAAUUGCGCUCUAAACUACUGUGCUUGAGGAAGCUAGAGGUGAGCGGAACUGAUGGUGGAGCGGUGAAAUGCGUUGAUAUCAUCAGGAACACCGGGAGGCGAAGGCGGCUCACUGGGGCUUUUCUGACGCUGAGGAACGAAAGCUAGGGUAGCGAACGGG